UUUUUUGUUUUUAGGGUUUAUGCUAUAUCUUGGUGUGUUUUUUUGUGGACCUUGUUUUCCUGUAUGGGUUUGUUAAUAUUUCUAGAUUACCUUUUGUAUAAGGGUUAAUAGAGUGAGGUAUUUUUAUUUUUUAGAACAUAGAAGAUCUUAUGGGAAUUUUUAUUUUUUAUAUUAUGGUAAAUUUUUUUAAGGAGUAAUACGCUUUCGUUUCUUUAGUUAACUAAGUAUGAAUGAGAAAAUGAGGGGUAACCCCUUUCUUUUAAAAUUUUUAUUUUUGGAGCUAUCCUUUAAUAGUAAGGGUUUGUGUAAUAACUUUUGUGUUUUUGUUUAGUUUGUUUAGUUUUUAUAGAUUUUAAUAAAUUAUUAGAUUAGUAGAAAAGAGGUUUAUGGUGUAUGGGUUUAUUUUUAUUAAUGUUUUUAAUGUUAAUUUUAUCUUACUAAUUAACCCUAAGACUGGUUAUUAAAACCAUAGCUAUAAUUUUUAUAGUUUUUUCUGCUCUAUGGGGAGACCUGAAUGGCUGUGAUUUUCACACUAAGGUAGCGAGGUCAUUAGUUAUUUAAUUGGUAACUUGUAUGAAUGAAAUUUCUUAGGUAAGAUUAUUUUUUAUUUUUAAUUUAUAUUGUUGUUGAGAAUAACAAUUUAUCUUUUAAGACUAAAAGACCCUGGGAUUUUUAUAAAUCUAAUAUUUAUUUAGUUGGGGCAACGUAAUUAUUUAAAUAAAAAUAAAUUUUUAUUUUGUUGAACUUUUAAUAAAGACAGAUAGAUAAAAUACCCCAGGGAUAACAGCUUAAUCACUUUUGUUAGUUCUUAUAUGUAAGGUGGUUUGGGACCUCGAUGUUGGAUUAAAAGCACCUCUAGGUGAAGAAGCUUGGUUAGGUGGGACUGUUCGUCCCUUAAAAUUUUACAUGAUCUGAGUUAAAGUCGGCGU
rnacentral:rRNA from 1 species